rnacentral:rRNA from 1 species
UACGGGGGGGCAAGCGUUGUUCGGAAUUACUGGGCGUAAAGGGCUCGUAGGCGGCCCACUAAGUCAGACGUGAAAUCCCCAGGCUCAACCUGGGAACUGCGUCUGAUACUGGAUGGCUUGAAUCCGGGAGAGGGAUGCAGAAUUCCAGGUGUAGCGGUGAAAUGCGUAGAUAUCUGGAGGAAUACCGGUGGCGAAGGCGGCAUCCUGGACCGGCAUUGACGCUGAGGAGCGAAAGCCAGGGGAGCAAACGGG